UUGAACUCAGAAAUCCACAUGCCUCUGCCUU
rnacentral:piRNA from 1 species